UGGGGAAUUUUGGACAAUGGGGGCAAGCCUGAUCCAGCCAUGCCGCGUGAGUGAAGAAGGCCUUCGGGUUGUAAAGCUCUUUCAGACGGAAAGAAAUCGGUGCGUUUAAUACAUGCACUGGAUGACGGUACCGUAAGAAGAAGCACCGGCUAACUACGUGCCAGCAGCCGCGGUAAUACGUCGGGUGCGAGCGUUAAUCGGAAUUACUGGGCGUAAAGCGUGCGCAGGCGGUUAUGUAAGACAGAUGUGAAAUCCCCGGGCUCAACCUGGGAACUGCGUUUGUGACUGCAUAACUAGAGUACGGCAGAGGGAGGUGGAAUUCCGCGUGUAGCAGUGAAAUGCGUAGAGAUGUGGAGGAACACCGAUGGCGAAGGCAGCCUCCUGGGCCAGUACUGACGCUCAUGCACGAAAGCGUGGGGAGCAAACA
rnacentral:rRNA from 1 species